rnacentral:lncRNA from 1 species
UGGGCUUGAUCCAACCUAGGCCUAAAAAAUGAACAAAACAAAAACCAAAUAAAAUCUAUCUAUAAAUUCAAGACAGAGAAAUAUCUAGAAUCCUAAAAGGGGAAAAAGUUAAUUCUCCGUCUUCAUCUACCAUUUCGAAGCUCAAAUCGAUCGUCUCUUAUUUUCUAAUGAUGGAACUAAGAUGGAGAAGGCCAAAAUACAUUCUCUAUAUCGAGGCUUUAAUCCCAAAUCUACACUUUAUCAAGUUUGAGGUAUUUUCACAUAAUACAUUCAAAAUUCUCACAAAUAUCAUGUAAACCAACUCAAUAGACUUUUUUGACUCAAUAGAGGUAGAUGUGAUGAGCUCAAGGGUACAUUAUGAAGUUUCUAUUUCUUUUUUAUCUAUUUUUGUAAGGAUUUAAACUCUCUUCCAUAUUUCUUUAUGUGAGCAGCUUAGUUGCAG